ensembl:snRNA U6 U6 spliceosomal RNA
GCACUCGCUUUGGCAGCACACAUACUAAAAUUGGAAGGAUAUGGAGAUGAUUAGCGUGGCCCCAGUGUAAAAAUGACAUGCAAAUUUAUGAACCAUUUCAUAUUUUU